AGUGAACGCUGGCGGUAGGCCUAACACAUGCAAGUCGAACGGCAGCACAGUAAGAGCUUGCUCUUACGGGUGGCGAGUGGCGGACGGGUGAGGAAUACAUCGGAAUCUACUUUUUCGUGGGGGAUAACGUAGGGAAACUUACGCUAAUACCGCAUACGACCUACGGGUGAAAGCAGGGGAUCUUCGGACCUUGCGCGAUUGAAUGAGCCGAUGUCGGAUUAGCUAGUUGGCGGGGUAAAGGCCCACCAAGGCGACGAUCCGUAGCUGGUCUGAGAGGAUGAUCAGCCACACUGGAACUGAGACCAGGUCCCGACUCCUACGGGAGGCAGCAGUGGGGAAUAUUGGACAAUGGGCGCAAGCCUGAUCCAGCCAUACCGCGUGGGUGAAGAAGGCCUUCGGGUUGUAAAGCCCUUUUGUUGGGAAAGAAAAGCAGCAGGUUAAUACCCCGCUGUUCUGACGGUACCCAAAGAAUAAGCACCGGCUAACUUCGUG
rnacentral:rRNA from 1 species